rnacentral:tRNA from 1 species
AGGUCACUAGCUCAACUGGUAGAGCAGCGGACUCUUAAUCCGUCGGUUCGGGGUUCGAGUCCCCGGUGGCCUACCA